CUGAAGACACGGUGACCGGGGUCCCGGGGCCCCAGUAGUUGAACCAGUUGUCCCAGUAGUCCCCUCACUGUGUCUCUCGCACAGUAAUAUGUGGCCGUGUCCUCGGUCUUCAGGCUGUUCAUCUGCAGAUACAGCGUGUUCUUGGCGUUGUCUCUGGAGAUGGUGAAUCGGCCCUUCACGGAGUCUGCGUAGCUUGUCUGACUACCAUCAGUGU